AACCUUUGUAAAUUCUGAAUAUAAUUCUUGGUUGGUUUGCUACAGUUGGUAAUAGACAAUUUAAAUUAGUAUGGACCUUUAGGCCUUGCUGAGUAAUUAGGCUCUGCAAAAGAGGUUAGAAAUGUGAACUUCCCUUAGAUUACUGUUAUCAGUAACUACUAUUUUCUCAUACACUGACUAAAUGUAAAACUUUUGAGUCUUUGAAGAAUAAUUUUUCUAACUACAAGCACUACUUGGUAAUAGAACUUAAUGAUGAAAGGUAUAUACUUUUAGAAAUUUCAUUAAGUUCUAGAUAAGAUAAAAAACAAGGAAGUGUGCAAGAAUUUCCCAAG
rnacentral:lncRNA from 1 species